AUACGGAGGGUCCGAGCGUUAUCCGGAAUCAUUGGGUUUAAAGGGUCCGUAGGCGGGAAUCUAAGUCAGUGGUGAAAUCUUGCAGCUCAACUGUAAAAUUGCCAUUGAUACUGGAUUUCUUGAAUUAGUGGGAAGUGGUUAGAAUGUGUAGUGUAGCGGUGAAAUGCAUAGAUAGUACACAGAAUACCAAUUGCGAAGGCAGAUCACUAACACUAUAUUGACGCUAAGGGACGAAAGCGUGGGGAGCGAACAGGAUUAGAAACCCCAGUAGUCC
rnacentral:rRNA from 1 species